CCUACGGUGGCUUAGACGGUAAAGCGUCUGCCUGCCGUGCAGGAGACCCGGGUUUGAUCCCUGGGUUGGG
rnacentral:tRNA from 1 species